AAUAACAUGCCUGAUAAAAGGUUUAUUUUGAUAGAAUAUUAAAUGUUGAUUAAUUCAUCUGUUAUUG
rnacentral:tRNA from 1 species